GGCAGUACGACGUUCCGCAGAUCGAGUGUCCCAGCGCGGAGGACGGCAUGGAACGGUUCGCGUGCCCUUCGCCGGACCGGAUGGGGCGGUAUCGGUGCAUCGAUGACCACGUCCUGUGUGAUGGAUUCAUCGACUGUCCACAAGGGGAGGACGAGGACCGUAUGUCCUGCAUGUUCUACAAGACGACAAAGGCUCACCUGGACGUGCUAGCAGACGCACUGCUAAGGUGGGCUCGUGGCCGCUACUGAACACCACCGCCUGACCAAAGGGCAACGCAACGCCUGGCGGCUUCGAGGUCGCACCUGGAGAGGCCACGCCUUCGGGGUGGUCGGCGCGCCUCUCUGGAUUCGAGCUUCUCCCCCGCACAAGUGUGACACCGCCAUUGACAGCCGCCGUUCCUUCGUCCGGCCAUCUCGACCAGACGCAAGGAGAGCUGGGCCCUCCGGUGGCUUCGCUCGCUCUCUGAACCGCAGAAGCGCCAGGCGGCGCCACUGUGGCGACAUUUCUCGUGAAUGGCCUUUUUUCCUAAGGUGUAAGUCUCAACGAGCGAUAGAUUGGCUCAACGGAAAUUAAAUGCUGGCGCACAAACAACCAGCACUGCUUUCACGUUCCGCCACUGCUCAGAGCGUUAACAUGAUAAGCGACGUAAAAUAUCCUCUCUUACAUUGAGGCACGACGUGUACGUUGGGGAAGGUGAUCAUUUCAAAUCGUCCCCUCUGUUUUUCCUGUGUCAGGGUGCUUUCUCUUACAAAGUGAAAGAUAAUCAUGCACGCCUGAUGAGUGCGUGUGGUUGUCGCGAACCUGAAUGUUCGUGUCUUGGGUUGUGUGUUUUAUUAGUAUUUGCUGUUCUUACAAACACUUGAUUUUGAUCGUCCACAAUGUGUGCAUGCUAUGCAGAGUAUUCCGGCGUGUUCAGAAGACAUUAUGCAUGUCUUGGUAGCGAAAAAAAACUCGUUUUUAAAGAACCAGCAAAACCAUGCUCUAAAUUAGCCAUUUAUUCCACAUGGCUAACGUUAAGGCAGACGGAAAAAGCUUGCUGCCGUAAUUCCCUGUCGAACAUGUGCGAGUCAAUGGCAAUUCACUGUUUUGUUGUUUCACUGCUCACGCAACUAAUGGUAACUCUCACUGUAGAGCGUUUCAGCCGACUGGCACGAUGUAACAGAAUUCUCAUUGAUCUUGUUCCAGUCAUGCCUAACCUGUCAAUGUCAUCUUUUCUUUACAUGUUCGCUUUGCGACCAUGAGGAUACCUGUGUGUAUGAGACCAGAAAUAUUUGUCAAAUGCUACGAAGUAGCAGAGGUACUAAAUUUUGUAACACUGCGUUCGCUUCGAAAGUUGACGUGCCUGACACACGCAAGCACAGUGUGUGACUCACCUCUGGUUAUCGCAGUUCUGUAUUCCCUAUGCCUCACUGCACUGAUUGACGGUUUAUUACUGUGAGAUGCAUAGCGAUAGAGAUCUUACAAACUUUUUGUAUCGUUGUUACCUAGCCUUUUCAAUCUUCAGUGCACACAUGCACUGACACCCGUGAUAAAUACUAAGGCGGAAUAAUUGCCGAUAAAGCACGCAAGGCCAAUACGGCCUGUUUCUACACCAACACAGUCAUCAGCUA